GUGGGGGUGGCGGGCCGGCGCGGGGGCGACGGCGCGUGCGGGGGCUGGGCGCCUGCGGGAGGCGUGCGGCCGCAGGGUUCCGUGCCGCCGAGUGUCUACGUCCGUGUGCGCGCCCGUGCGCCGCCGGGCAGCGCCGGCCGUGGGCGCCCGAGCCAGCCCGGGGGCGCGAUAAGCCGUGGGGCUAACAGAGGCGUUCGGCGAGGCUGGCCGCGGCGCGCGCACACGCACCACCGAGCUUCACCGACUCGGCCCCCGCGCGGGGGGCGGGCCGAGGGCGGGCCGGGCGGGGGCGACGGCCACGGCCCAGGGUGAGCGACUGCCCGUCGCCCGCCUUCCUUCAGCCACCUGAGGGGACUGCACGCAGCUCGUCAUCUCUGGGGUGCUGGCGUGAGUCCCUCGAGGUCCGGCGGCGACUGUAAAUAGAGUCUGGAUGUUGUUUACAUGAAGGAUCCGGCGGGAGGAGUCUGCAAGGAGGAGGCGGAGGAGGAGGAGGGAGGUAGGAGAGAGGAAGACCGGAGUCCCCGCGGCGGCAGCGGUCCGGGGUGAGGGCCGAAAAGAGUCCUUUCCCUCACUCUGCUGCCCAGUCACCAGAAGCCACCUUCUUGGACAAGGACCACACCUGUGCUUAUUCCAGCUUUGGAGGAGAGAUGUAGAAUAGAGGAUCUGAGAAAAGUGAACUCUGCAGAAAAGAGGAGUAUAAUUGUGUUUCUGGAACAGCCCCUGGCUCUACCAUUGGAGGUCAGUGCAAGUCUUUGGUGUUGCCCCCUUUAGCUGCCUAUUAAGGGAAUUUGAGAAUUUAAGACCCAGCAUUUUUAAAUGGCACUGCUGCAGUAAUGAGAUCAUGAGUUAAUUGGAGACAGAGUUUUUAGAGAUGGGUAGCUAGGGGUGGGUCAUUCUGACUAGUUUCUCUAAAAGGGUAUAAUGCCGAGGUGAAAUCAGAGUAAAAGUAACUUGUGAGCAGACUGUAAAACCCAAACUGGGGGGAAAAUAGGAUGUAGAACAAAAGCAGAAAGUAAAAUAACUGUGUAGUAGACAGGUGGGCUAAAAGUGUGCACGCUGAGUGAAUGUGUAAGGGGUAAGAGCCUACAUAACAGAAUAUGGGCCGGUCCAUUUAUUUGUGAAUUUUAGUCUCCUGGAGCCUUUGUGAGCAAGAAAGCACGUCCCUCUUUCUGUCUGUACAUUGUUGUGUACAUAGGUCUUUUCCUCCAGAUGGACCUGCUAUAAGUUAUGGAGCAUGAGACUGUUCAGAGAUAUCUGUCAAGUUUUACACCUAUUGAAGUAACUUGAGAACUUAUGAUUGACAUGGAAAAAAAAAACAAGUGAAUCAUGGUUUUCCUAAGAUGGUAUUCUAAAGCCUGGAUUCAAAAGUAAGAAUCAUCCCUGAAAUAACUUCAGGGUACAUCUCAAAGAUACAGUUAAUUUCAAAGCAUGUGAUUUUUUUCAAGAAGGCAUUCCAGAGGUGGUCAGUGAUUCCUGCACCACUGUAAUUGUAGGGCUGGCACUGACUGCAGUGACAACCCCCGGCAGGUUUGCUCAACGUGUAAUCAUCAGUGUCAUCAACUCGAGUACGUUCUUAGCACUCAGAAUAAGAACAGUGUCACUUUUUUUACUAACGUACAUUUCUUAAAUCACAAAACCCAUACUAGUUUCUGCUCUAUGAGAUGAGAUACUCCAAAAAACUAAAAACCUUAAGCAAAAAGUAGAUGUUUUCAGAAAUCUUUUUGCUUGUAUAAAUUGUGCAAUCUGAAUACCCAGUUGACAGAGUUGAAUGGCCAGAUUGGGGUAGAGGAAAAAAAGCCCUAGGCUUAGUCUUAAGACAUGGAUUUGAGCCCAGGUUCACCAUAACUUAGGGCAUGGUCUCAGAUAAAAUACCUAACCUCUAUAGGUUUUUAUUUUUUAUCUGUAAUAUGUGCUAAUGAUAUCUAACCCACUUUCAGAAUCCUUUUUUGAUGAAAUAACGAAUAAAUUCAUUGUCAACCUAAUAGGGUUCUUGUGGAAAACCAAAUGAGAAAGCACAUAGAAAAUUAUUGAAUGUCAGGCAAAAGUGAAGAAUUAUUGCUAUGUUUGGGAGCAUUUUGAGAACAGGGACCAUGUCUGAUUUACCUUUUUUUUUUUUAAAUCCUCAGUUGAGGAUAUGUUUUUUACUGAUUUUAAAGAGGGAGAGAGAAACAUCAAUCAUUUGCCUCCCACAGGCAACCCCAACUGAGGGCUGAACCCUCACCUAAAUAUGUGCCCUGACUGGGAAUAGAACCUGUAACCUUUUGGUGUAGGGGACAGUGCUCCAGCCAACUGAGCACCUAGCCAGGGCCAUGUCUUACUUGUCUUAAUUACUUAAGUAUCCAGAAGAGGUCUUGGAACAUUGUAGUCCCUCAAUAAAUAUUUGUUUCAUGAAUGAUUGAGGUCAGGGAUAGAGUCAGUGAAUGUGUGCAUGAAAGAAAUACAUUGUGAAAUAAGCUGCAACGCUUACUGUAUAGUCAUGUUUGCUCAUUCGCAUUAAUAUGUACAAAUCAUGUGUUCGUCUUUCAUUCUGUUAUAAUUCAGCUGGGCCUCUGAAUAUUUCAGCAUCACCAUUUACCGGUCUGUGAACCCACUUUCCCUUCUGCUUCCCCUCAUCUUGAACCAGAAGGGAAUCUCUUAGUCUUCCACUUCAUGGGGAGCUUUCAGAGAGAGUCAUUUGGUCACCUGGAAAGGACACCACCAGCCUACACAGUGACUGACAGGCUGCCCUGGCUCAGUUAUCACAGUGCUGAUGCUGUCCAUUCUAAAGGUACAGUACUGUGAUAACUGAAGGAUGGCAGCCAUCUUGCCUUCCAUCAAAGGAGCCAUCGUGCCCAGAAAAGAAGACCGAAGAUGAAAGAGGCGUGUGAAGCAGGUGCAGGGAUCCAGAAACCCUCUUACACCGUUCCUGUAUUGUACCUUCCCUAGCACGGAGUGAAUGUUACUCCCUCUGUCUUUGCCUUAUUUUUAACAUGGGGAUAAAGGGAGUUGGGUAGUUGUUUGCACAGCAGCAUGAACACUUAUACUGAAUUGACAUACAUUACAAUUUUUGGAGCUUUUAGGAGACUGACAUGAGUACUGAGUGUGAAUAAGUAUUUUGGGAGAGAGGUUCAGAGAAAUUUGUGCCAUUUUUAUAAAUAUAAAUGGUAACCUAAUUAGAGUAGCUUGGCGCUUGUCAAUAUAACCUACUCAAAGUGCAGUUCAGCUUAAAUAGGGAGAAAAAAGCCCUACAUGUUGAACAGUAUUGAUACAGUUCAGCGGUUUUCAACCUUUUUCAUCUCAUGGUACAUACAAACUAAUUACUAAAAUUCUGUGGCCAAUAUGACAAAAAAAAGUAGGUAUAAUGUUGAUACAUUGACAUCAGACAGCUUUCAUUGGGUGGAUGUUGUCAUUUGUUUGUUUGACAGUCUAAGGGGAAAGAGGUCGGUGCCCCUAAAUAAAUAAUCAGGUAUUGCAUGUUUUAAAAAUUCUUGUGGCACACUGGUUAAAAAUUGCUGAUGUAAUUGCAUGAAUAAAACUACAUCUUUUUGGUUAAGAAAUGGGUAUGGAUAUAGCAUAUUUUUUCCUAUAACAUAAAUGUUUAAAGUCUCAUGUAAUUCAAAACAGUGUCCGUUGAAUGCCCAUGUCUUUGCUGUUGGUAUCACCUUUACAUGAAAAUAAAAUGUUAUUUUUAUCAAGUAGUUAAGGACCACCCUGCAGUGACAUAGCACACACCUUCAACCUGCAUCUUAUUCUAGAGCAUACUGUUGGGGUGAGGUCACUAGAGAAGCCAGGGUUUCCCCCAUCCUUCCUCUCUUAAGACUCCUAAGACAUGGACAGCAGCAGAUGAGCAUCCGAGUGCACGACUAUCAUACCUUAGAUUGCAGCUGGCUACAGGGCUCAGGUAAUUUCAUGUAGUUUAGGCUCAAUGCCUAAAUAAGGACCUCUUACCUUUACCCAGGCUCAUGUCUAUCUGGGAACCUCACCAUAGUGGGUGGCCGACCAGUGAGGAACCCAGAGCAGUGACCCAUGUACUUGGGCACAGAGAGAACAAGGCCUGUGAAGGUCAGGCCCUUCUUGGACCUGCUGGUUACCCACAAGGUGAGACGAUCCAGCACGGAGGAAAACCAUGUAUGUGAUGUUUUAACGCACAAGAGUCCUAACCCGCUAAUCAAGAGUCCAGUCAUUGUCCUAGACUUGGGCCAUUUUUAUUAUGAAGUCCUAACUGAAACUUGAGUAAGGAGGAAAGGAAACAGGAAGCAAGUGGCAAGGCAGGGAGGCUCAGUUUCACCCUUCAUCAUCCAGUCCUCAGCAUUCCUGCUCACUGUUCCUUUGCUGGUUCACACAGUUCUCGCUAUGCUCUUCUCUCUUCUCCUGAAGCAACCCCCGACGGCACACCUGCUUGUCCCUGAGUUGUUAUUUUCCAUGUGGCGUUGACCACAUGAUGAUGCUGUAUCUCACGUGUCUUCAUAUACUUAGAAUUUCUCUAAACUGCAGCCUAGCCUUAUGUUUCUGAUUAAUUAUGGGGAGCAGUCAGUGGCUCUGCCCAGUUGUGUAGUAUCCCACCAGCCCUGCUCCUUUAACAGAAAAGGAAUUUCUGACAGGAACCCUGGAAGAACUUCUGAGAAAGGAAAGUUCUGGGAUUGGCGAACUCUCAAGUAAUUCAAAACACUCCUACUUUUAAGAAGUAUAGCAGGUGGAAAAGAGUGCUUUAGGGAGUGAGGUGUUGUGCAGUCAUUGGCCUUGGUGAGGGUUUCGCCACCUUGCCCGAUCUUCCUGUUUUCCCGUUACUAGUUCCAUAAAAAUUCAGGUUUUAUACUUACCCAACAUUGGUCCCAGGAUCCACACUCGAGUCUGUUGGGGUGUUACAGAGGUGAGUGUUGGGGCAUUUCUACAGACGGAGCCACACUGGGUCCCUCUUCCCAUCAGUAGGGAAGCUUGAAGCCGGUCUGCCUGUAGGAGCCCUAGGAGGCUUGCCUAGGCCUGGAGGUCCUAGCAUCCUGGAGGACUUCAGAGAUGCAGGGUUCCGACAGGCUAAGUGAGGAGUAAAGCAAGAGAAA